rnacentral:rRNA from 1 species
UGGGGAAUAUUGCACAAUGGGCGCAAGCCUGAUGCAGCAACGCCGCGUGCGGGAUGACGGCCUUCGGGUUGUAAACCGCUUUCAGUAGGGACGAAGCCUCAAGUGACGGUACCUACAGAAGAAGGACCGGCUAACUACGUGCCAGCAGCCGCGGUGAUACGUAGGGUCCGAGCGUUGUCCGGAAUUAUUGGGCGUAAAGGGCUUGUAGGCGGUCCGUCGCGUCAGGAGUGAAAACUCGGGGCUUAACCCCGAGCCUGCUUUUGAUACGGGCGGACUAGAGGGAUGCAGGGGAGAACGGAAUUCCUGGUGGAGCGGUGGAAUGCGCAGAUAUCAGGAGGAACACCGGUGGCGAAGGCGGUUCUCUGGGCAUCACCUGACGCUGAGAAGCGAAAGCGUGGGGAGCAAACAG